CCUACGGGAGGCAGCAGUGAGGAAUAUUGGUCAAUGGGCGCAAGCCUGAACCAGCCAAGUCGCGUGAGGGAUGACGGUCCUAUGGAUUGUAAACCUCUUUUGUCGGGGAGCAAGGCCCGCCACGUGUGGCGGGAAGGAGAGUACCCGAAGAAAAAGCAUCGGCUAACUCCGUGCCAGCAGCCGCGGUAAUACGGAGGAUGCGAGCGUUAUCCGGAUUUAUUGGGUUUAAAGGGUUCGUAGGCGGAAGGUUAAGUCAGCGGUCAAAUGUAGGUGCUCAACACCGUCGAGCCGUUGAAACUGGUGUUCUUGAGUGAGUGAGAAGUAUGCGGAAUGAGUGGUGUAGCGGGGAAAUGCAUAGAUAUGACGCAGAACUCCGAUUGCGAAGGCAGCAUACCGGCGCUAAACUGACGCUCAGGCACGAAAGCGUGGGUAUCGAACAGGAUUAGAUACCCUGGUAGUC
rnacentral:rRNA from 1 species